AAAAAAGCCACCAACACCUCGCAUGACCCUGCCCCUUGAUCCCAUCUCCAGCUCCUUCCCGCCGCCACCUCCUGCCCCGCGCCGCCCGCCCCACACCGCCUCGAUCGGGACCGCGUCCCUCCCCAAACGACAGCGAUGGUUGAGGGCGCCGCCCAACUCCUGGCCGACGGAUUCGCUGGCUCCCCGCUCCUCGGGGCCAGCCCAUCCUCCGUGUCGGGUCGAGCAUCGACUUGGAGGCCACUUGGGGCUGCCGCCGGUGCGGGAGUCCCGUGCAGCCGUGAGGGCUGGGGACCGAGCGGCGGGGCCCGUGGUGCGACGCUUGAUGGAUGGCCUGCACAGCGUGGACGACUGCUUAUCUCCCGGGAGGGCCAUAGGCAGAAACUUGUCCUGUCACGCAGGUGCUACCAAUCUGCAUCAAACUGUUGGGCCAUGAGAAGAAAAAGGUUCCAUGAGGGUGUCUAUUUUCAGAACUGGAGAAAGAGCUCGCCUACCAUGCAUGUUGCCUGGUCCGAUGAGCUGUGCUACGCCGAGUGCCCUGUCAGAGUGCAGCCGCACAGCACUGCCCGCUGUUGAGGACCCCGGAGCCUAGACAGUUAGCUCGGCAACUUCCAGCCCCCACCGCCUUUCUCGACAGGCACGACACCCAGGUUUUCGUCUAUGCCUCAUUGGAUGCACUUCCAUUGUAGUGUGCUACCAAACUUUUUUACGAACAGUGUAGUACCAGUUGCUGUGAUAUCAUGUCCUCAGCAAUGCCCCCGAUGGAACGACCACGACCAUGUUGUUGCCUGGAGUCUUUUUUCAUGAUGAUGUCGCUAUUCGCCAUCCCACAGUUUAUGCGGUGGAGCGUCAAUGACCUCAGCGUGUUGCAGGAGAAGACCAUGAAGAUCGGCAAGAAAGAUAUGUGUCAUACAGGUUGAUCAAGGAAGGUGCAACACUGUGAUGUGAGUUGAACACAAGCAUGGCCUACAAUCUCGACGCCCACCAUCCAUGUGCCUUGCAAGCAGCAAUUGUUCACAUCCUUGACAUUUGUCACUGCCCUCUUCUCAUCUAUCCCGACAGUCUCGGUGUCCAGGCAAGGUAUGUCUAUGUCAGUUGAACUGUCACUCGAGUUACAACAAUUCCAAGAUUUUUUCUAUAUCUGCAAUUGGGUGGACUAUGGUAUGAAUCAGUUUAUAAGCAACCAUGGUGUACAUGAAUCCUUGUUGGUGUGAACUGUCAAAAGCAUUUCCUACUAUUUCUAUCACAACCCUA